rnacentral:lncRNA from 1 species
GAGAUGCUAGCACCCUUUUAACUCUAAGUCAAACGAUACACAACAACAGAGUCGAUUGCCUCAAAAAAAUAAAUAUUGGUAAGAGUUCGAACUUCGGUUGCCGACCCGUUAAUUAAUCCUAAUCCUUAGUUAUAAAGAAAUGCGUAUUAUACAAUCUGCAAUUCCCAUUGAAUAGUCCAAUCGCAGCCAACAGUGGAACCUAUUUCCAGAAAGAAAGAAAAAAAAUGGAAAAAGGGUGGAGAUAGAGAAAGAAACAAAACAAACCCAAAAAAAAAAACCGAAAUUGGAGAUGGUGGGAACUCUGCGACUACGACCGUCGCACUCAUUGAUCUGAACCAGUUUCCAGAUGCACAUGAGCACAAGAAACUGAGGGAAGCGUCUGAUGUUAAAUUAUUAUAGCCAAGAACUGGAUUCAGUUGCAGUAAUCACAACCAAGUAAAGCACAGAAACCUUUCCCAUAUAAAAGCGUUGCAAUUCACUAAUAUGAUGAACCUCCACCUGAAGAUGCCAUGAAUGCUGCAAACCGAUCUCAAUGCACUGUAACUCUUCUCCUCUCUGUCAGAUUAUUUCAAGCUCUAACAAAGUAUAGGGCUUAGUUCCGAAGAGAGCACACAUCUGUGAGAGCAGAGGUCACAAUAUAUAUAGACACACAUAUCUCAUUCUCAUAACUCAAUAAGGAUUCCCUAUUAAAAUCCUUAUAGAAAACAACUUAUGACUUCUAAAUCAUAUCAGUUUAAUGUCAAAACAGAAUCCUUCAUUAACAAGAAUUAGUAUACAACUUCUCAUAAGGCUUUCUUAUACCAAUUGGACUUAAUCACCCGCUGUCAAAACAUCCAAUCUCAAGUUCAUACUCUUACAUUGAGACAUGGGGUUGCUUCAGGCUUGCCAACCAUAGGAUCGAACCGAGCCUGAUGGCAGAGAUGAAGACUGUGGUCAGAUGUUUGCUUGAUCUACCCAUGGAGAUGAAGAUACAGAACAAAGAUGUCAUUGCUGGUAGUGGCUACGUGGCAGCCUCUAUGAGGCUUUGGGUCUUCAUGACUUGGGAGUUGGGAUCAUCUCAGGCUGUGCAUAGCUUUUGCUCUCGGCUGGAUGCCUCUUCCCACCAGAGGUUGGUUUUUUUUGCUCCAUUAUACUUACUUAUCCUCCAUGAUAUUCUAAUUAAUUUAAUCUACAAUAUGAGGAGGAGGGUUUGAACUUUAGUGCAGAGGGGAAGCAAUCUGUUGUAGCCAAUUUAGGUGUAUGUGCAUCACGUUCAUUAUAUUUUAAUUAAAAACAGAUGUGCACUGGUAAUCUAUUGGCACCAUUGAUAUCGACACAUUAUCAAUUGCAUCUCUUUAACUCUCCUUAUCAAGAUGAUGUCGAUGGGUAUCUCUUAUUAAAACAACAGGACUUUUAGAGAGCUGAGCUAAUCGAACGAAAUCGGAACUCACAGCCUCGGAGAAAUUAGACCUCGUUCUCAAGAAAUCAUAUGCCAGGCGGAAUCCCAUUUACACUAUCAAGUCUUUAUUUCUUGUCUUCAUUUACUCCAGCAUACAAUGAUCUGCACAACAUGAUGGACUCCUCUGUAUAUUAAAAUACUGCUUUUUGAAAUUAACCUUAAACUUCCCUGCCUAGUGCCUACUUAGUCUUCCCAUCAUGUUUUCUUUUGAAAUUAAUUGAAAGUUUGCUUUGUAAUGAAAGCUUUUAGUCGACACCACCGGCCAAGACCGAAAUCCAUUUUUUUCCACCUGCUUCUAGAUUAGCAACAGUAGU